GGGUCGGUGCCCGAGCGGCUAAAGGGGACGGGCUGUAAACCCGUUGGCGUAAGCCUACGUUGGUUCGAAUCCAACCCGGCCCACUA
rnacentral:tRNA from 1 species